AGCGGUUCACUAAUUGGAUUUACAAAUAGCAUCAGUGUACAUACUAAAGUUUGCUGAAUAUCUAGAAAAUUCACUAGGAACUUAAGUAAAUUUUCUCUCACGGUUUGUCACUAGAUUUUUAAUGAGUCCUUUUCCAUCGCCACUUCAAAGAAUAGUUUAGCAGGAUUUAUUCUCCAUUCAAAAGACUCAAUAGAUAAUAACGACUCAGUCUACCGUCUGAUUUUGGCUCUGGCAGCAAGUUUGAAAUUCGAUAUUGAAGAAGUCCUAAACGAAAUCAGCAAAGAGUAUAACUUCGUACAAUGGCGACGGGCAAGUCUUUAGUGCUGUCAGAAUGGGGUCGUAAAAUCGUCGAAGCAGAGGCGCGUCUCUUAUUGAAGACGCCAUGAAUGCCGAAAGAAACUACGCACGCAAUAACUGCUAGAAGGAGCUCGAGGGUGAACCGCACGGAUUUACCCGGUUACGAGAUAAAACUUUCCCUUCAAACGCAAAGUGUUGACCAUCAGUUGAAACGAGGGUUGUUCGUCAUGCAUGAAUAAUAACCCAAGGGUUUUUGAAUAAACAUACAUAAACAUGUAAGAUUUUGAAAUUGAAAAAUUACCAUAGAAAAAAAGGUUAAUAACUAUGCGAAAUACUUUGUCGAAUUUAUAUCUCCCUCUAUGAAUUAAAUUGCUAAACCAAUUCAAUCCUCUUGAUUAAAAGGUCGACAAUUUUGAACAAUGGA